rnacentral:rRNA from 1 species
AGUCAAUAGAUACCCAGGUAGUCCAUGCCGUAAACGAUGAUUGCUAGGUGUGGGGGGGUCUGACCCCUUCCGUGCCGGAGUUAAACACAAUAAGCAAUCCACCUGGGGAGUACGGCCGCAAGGUUGAAACUCAAAGGAAUUGACGGGGGGCCCGCACAAGCAGUGGAGUAUGUGGUUUAAAUUCGAAGCAACGCGAAGAACCUUACCAGGUCUUGACAUCCACCGAAUCCUGUAGAGAUACGGGAGUGCCCUUCGGGGAACGGUGAGACAGGUGGUGCAUGGUUGUCGUCAGCUCGUGUCGUGAGAUGUUGGGUUAAGUCCCGCAACGAGCGCAACCCUUGUGAAUAGUUGCUACGAAAGAGCACUCUAUUCAGACCGCCGUUGACAAAACGGAGGAAGGUGGGGAUGACGUCAAAUCAUCAUGCCCCUUAUGACCUGGGCUACACACGUACUACAAUGGCCGUUAACAGAGGGAUGCAAUACCGCGAGGUGGAGCGAACCCCUAAAAACGGUCUCAGUUCAGAUUGCAGGCUGAAACUCG